GGCCCCCCAAACAAAGGACCCGCCGGGUCCUAGUGCCCGCCCGCUCCGUCACCUUCGCGCCUCCGGGUCCUAGCGCCUGCUCACCGCUCGCAGCCCACCCUGCCAACCUCUGCCUCUGCCAGUCGCUAAUACCUGCCCCCAUAUAGGCUUGCCUUUAUCUUUCUCCUUGCCUGCUGCCCCUCAGCUCGCGACCCUCCUGCACCUGCCUCCAGCUUUCCCUGUCCGCAACAGUCCUCCACGUGUUUCCCACGCACCCCACUUCUGUGCCCCCUUCCUCACCCCCCUUGUUCCUUCGCCUUUUGCCCCACACCUCCUGCUCCUUUUCGGCAUUUGCCUGCAGCUGCAGUGCUUUUAGACCCCCGCCCUCUCCGCGUUAGUUCGUCCGUCCAUCCAUCUAUCCUCCCUCCCUCCAUCCUUCGGUCCAUCCAUCCAUGCCUCCAACCCACUGUCCUUUCCCAGGCCUCUUGCCCUGCCUCUUGGCUCUCUGCUCUUACUCUCACCUUCUCUAGGCCCCUGAGUGCCUUAGUGAGCGGGCCUACAGCCCCUUCUUCUGAUCUUUGUCUUCUGGGCCCCAGGGAGCACCUGGCCUCGUGGCCUUUCGGGGUGACAGCAGGCAUCACGCCCCUGAAGAAGUUUGCAAGUGAGAAGAGGUGGAGGAGGAGACUGCACGGAGGGGUCUCUAAUGACACUUGUUCUCCUCUGAGACAUCCGACUCCCAGUUUCGUUCUAUCCAUCAUUCCCCGCACUUGCAUUUAACGGACUUAGAGUGGGAGCUGCCCCUUGUCUCUUGCGUGCCUAACCCACGACCCCUCAUAAUCUGGAUAUUAUAUAAGAUUGUCAACAAUCUUCUCAUCCUAGAAAGGAGCAUAUCUGUUAAUGGGCAUCAGAGAGCAGACCUAAGUGGGAGCCCAGGCCACCCUGGGGCUGCCCCAUGCUGGGUGGGCAAAGAUGGGGCCAUUGUCAGGGUCUGGGUGCAUUGAGAACCGGAAAUGGAGUCAGACGGGUUUGGUGACUCAGAAUUGAUUUUUUUUUUCCCAAGGGACAGGGA
rnacentral:lncRNA from 1 species